rnacentral:pre_miRNA from 1 species
AAGAUAGAAUGAGAUGAGGACUUUUUUUUUUUUUUUUGGUCCUCAUCUUGUCCCAUUUUCA